rnacentral:rRNA from 1 species
UAGGGAAUCUUCCGCAAUGGGCGAAAGCCUGACGGAGCAACGCCGCGUGAGUGAUGAAGGUCUUCGGAUCGUAAAACUCUGUUAUUAGGGAAGAACAAAUGUGUAAGUAACUAUGCACGUCUUGACGGUACCUAAUCAGAAAGCCACGGCUAACUACGUGCCAGCAGCCGCGGUAAUACGUAGGUGGCAAGCGUUAUCCGGAAUUAUUGGGCGUAAAGCGCGCGCAGGCGGUUUUUUAAGUCUGAUGGGAAAGCCCACGGCUCAACCGUGACGGGUCAUUGGAAACUGUAAAACUUGAGUGCUGAAGAGGAAAGUGUAAUUCCAUGUGUAGCGGUGAAAUGCGCAGAGAUAUGGAGGAACACCAGUGGCGAAGGCGACUUUCUGGUCUGUAACUGACGCUGAUGUGCGCAAGCGUGGGGAUCAAACAGG